GGCACUAUAGCUUAGCGGUUAGAGCAUUGAAGGCCCUAUCAGAAGGUCACUGGUUUGAUUCUAGCUAGUGUCA
rfam:Fomitopsis pinicola FP-58527 SS1 unplaced genomic scaffold FOMPIscaffold_161, whole genome shotgun sequence.